rnacentral:lncRNA from 1 species
UUCCGGUGAACCUUGCCGAAAAACUCAUAAUAUGUUCAUAACUUCAAAUGAUCAUAUCUCACUCAUUUCUUAUCCGUUUUCAAUGAUCUUUAUAUCAAAACGAAGCUUAUAACCUGAACUUUAAAUCUGGAGAAUAUCAAAAAUAAUAGUUGAAAAUUUCUGAACGUAAUAAUUUAUGCAAUUAAGGUUAAUUAAAUAUAAUCACUUUAUGUACUUCUUUGGAAUAUCAUCAUUUCUGGACUUGAACAAUAUGGACUUGUUGACAUGAACCUUACCACUAAAUUCCUUGUUAAAAACUUUCACAGUGAUUUACUCACUUUGUUAAACUUGAGAUGGACAACUUCACACAUUUUGAAGUUUAAUGACUUUAAUCGGAGAAUUAUGGACAUGGUUGAUUAACCCCAUGAAAUUGGACUUAAGGACUGAAACUACUAUUAAUAAUAAUAUGGUUUAUUCAGUCAAUAAUAUGGUUUAUUUAAAGUCUGCAAAGUUAAUUACUCUUUCAUUGCUUGUGUUUUAUCAUUACUUACAUUUUAUUAUGAAUUCGAUUAUUUGCUUGUAAGCUUAAAUUAUUAAUUGUUUGCUACAUGAGUUUUCCCUUCUUGUGUAUCAUGUUUAUGCUACAUAUAUAUGCAUUCAUUAUGAAAUAUUCUUAAGUAUAUAUGUAUAUAUGUGUAUUUAUGUAUUUGUGUACAUAUACAUAUGAUACGAUCUAUAGCUCAUAAAGAUUGUAUUUGUGAAUUUGAUUAUGUUUGAGAAGUUAUGGAGCCGGGUGAAUGGUACUACCCCCGUGCUCAAGUGAAUUACUGGUAAAGUGUUUUAUGUGGAAG